CCCUUAGAUGUUCUGGGCCGCACGCGCGCUACACUGAAUGGAUCAACGUGUUUUCCCUUCCCGAGAGGGACGGGUAACCCGCUGAACCCCAUUCGUGGUAGGGAUCGGAGCUUGCAAUUGUUCUCCGUGAACCAGGAAUUCCCAGUAAGCGCAAGUCAUAAGCUUGCGUUGAUUACGUCCCUGCCCUUUGUACACACCGCCCGUCGCACCUACCGAUUGAAUGGUCCGGUGAAAUCUCCGGACUGGCGUGAGUCGGAGCAAUCUGACAAACACCGGAAAGUUGAUUAAACCUUACCAUUUAGAGGAAGGUGAANUCGUANCA
rnacentral:rRNA from 1 species